rnacentral:rRNA from 1 species
UACGUAGGGUGCAAGCGUUAAUCGGAAUUACUGGGCGUAAAGGGCGCGUAGGCGGCUCUGUUAGUCGGGCGUGAAAGUCCUGGGCUCAACCUGGGAACUGCGCUUGAUACGGCAGAGCUAGAGGAUGGAAGAGGCUCGCGGAAUUCCCAGUGUAGAGGUGAAAUUCGUAGAUAUUGGGAAGAACACCGGUGGCGAAGGCGGCGAGCUGGUCCAUUACUGACGCUGAGGCGCGACAGCGUGGGGAGCAAACAGG